rnacentral:lncRNA from 1 species
AGCUUCGUUCAGGCCCGGCCGGGACUUGAUCAUCCUGGAAAUUAUAUCGCUGGCUCGUCCCACUUGGGGGAAAGCCAAUUACCUGGACUGGGAGCCAUUGGCAUCUCGUCCGGCCUCCCGCAGCCAGACAGGAACCCUGAGCUUCUGCUUCCAGCCUGGCCUGGCCUGUCCUAGAGAGUCCGCCUGGGUGAGGGGAGAGCCAGCCUGCGAGGGGCCCCUCCCACAGCCUGGCCUUUCCUGUGGGGCUGCAGUGGAACCUUCUCAUUUGCCUGAAAUGGAAAAAAGUCAAGCCCCGCAGCAGAAAAUGUCCGGGUUGCUGGAGGCGAAGGCUUCUGAAACACCGAACCAGCAAAAAGUGCCCGAGAGCCUCGGAGGGCCCGGGGGGCAAGGCCAGCGAGCCUGGUUUACAGAGAAGGAAAAAGAGGUUCCAAAGGGUGCCCCGAAGCCGGGAGGUCUGGGCUCAUCUCUGCCCCAGCGCGUCCCACAGCCUGGCCCCAGUUCUCAUCCCAAGGUCCCGAGUCCUGGACGGGGGCUCCCUGGGCCCUGAGCUCGGGGUGGGGGAGCCCAGCUCCUGGAUUUCUGCACGGUGGGCUGGG